UACGUAGGGUGCAAGCGUUAAUCGGAAUUACUGGGCGUAAAGCGUGCGCAGGCGGUGAUGUAAGACAGAUGUGAAAUCCCCGGGCUCAACUUGGGAACUGCAUUUGUGACUGCAUCGCUGGAGUGCGGCAGAGGGGGAUGGAAUUCCGCGUGUAGCAGUGAAAUGCGUAGAUAUGCGGAGGAACACCGAUGGCGAAGGCAAUCCCCUGGGCCUGCACUGACGCUCAUGCACGAAAGCGUGGGGA
rnacentral:rRNA from 1 species